CUAGAAAUUGAACUGUGGUCGCUUGCGUGUUACUUUGAUAAUAAACCUGCAAAUGAGAGAAGAACUGUAAUGGCAUAUACUGUUUGUUAAUUGCAUAUGAAACAUUGUACUGGCUAAGUUCACACUAUUGUGGUUAUGUUUCUCUGAUGAUUUAAAUGAGUUUCACUCAUUAAUAUUAUAUCUGCAUAUCAUUAAGCGGGAAGUAGUAGCACAUUUUGCACUUGGGGUGAAAUCUUGAAAAGACAAUGUUAUGAUGGCUUGAACUCUGUCUCAAAAACUUGAUCUUUGUGUCUGUAAAUAUGUUCCAUGCUGCAACUGGGAUCUUUCCAAAAUUUGAUCUUUGCUUUCCAAAAGAAUGCUUUAGUGUUGCAGUUUCCUUGCACCACAUGUUUAUAAUAUGCUUGUUCAGAAUCAGAGAAAUAUUUGUCCACCUUAAUUUAUAAACCUCUUGCUAAGUAACAUAAGUGGUAAAUCAGAAAAAUGAAGAUGCAUUUC
rnacentral:lncRNA from 1 species